GCUGGACAUGGUGGUGCAUGUCUGUAGUCUCAGCUACUUGAGAGGCUGAGGCAGGAGGAUUGCUUGAGCCCAGAAGUUCAGGGUUGCAGUGAGCUAUGAUUGUGCUACUGGACCCCAGCCUGGGUGACAAAGAAAGACCGUGUCUCAU
rnacentral:SRP_RNA from 1 species